AACGAACGCUGGCGGCAGGCUUAACACAUGCAAGUCGAACGCCCCGCAAGGGGAGUGGCAGACGGGUGAGUAACGCGUGGGAACAUACCCUUUCCUGCGGAAUAGCUCUGGGAAACUGGAAUUAAUACCGCAUACGCCCUACGGGGGAAAGAUUUAUCGGGGAAGGAUUGGCCCGCGUUGGAUUAGCUAGUUGGUGGGGUAAAGGCCUACCAAGGCGACGAUCCAUAGCUGGUCUGAGAGGAUGAUCAGCCACAUUGGGACUGAGACACGGCCCAGACUCCUACGGGAGGCAGCAGUGGGGAAUACUGGACAAUGGGCGCAAGCCUGAUCCAGCCAUGCCGCGUGAGUGAUGAAGGCCUUAGGGUUGUAAAGCUCUUUCACCGAUGAAGAUAAUGACGGUAGUCGGAGAAGUAGCCCCGGCUAACUUCGUGCCAGCCGCCGCGGUAACAC
rnacentral:rRNA from 1 species